CCUCCUGUGUGCACUUCCUUAAUUCUCAUUCACUCCCGAGUACGGUGGGGUGAAGCCUGGCCUGGGUGAUCUGCUCUGUGUGGCCCUGAGCAGGUCAGUGAACCACUCCAGCCUCGGUUUCUCCACUGCACCUUCUACACGAGCUAACUGGUCUUGGUGUUUGCUGCAUUUAAUGCACCAUCUUCACUGUUCAAUUGAAAUACAUGGAGCCUGGAAUUCUCUUCCAACCAAGGACUAAUUCCUUUAAUUUCACCCAAGUCUUAGCACAAGGAAGAAGAUACAGCAGUAGAAGGAUCUGUGCCUUUAAAAGACCAUCCUGGACUGGGUGUAAAAAAGCAGAAAUUAUGGUGCCAGCUUCCUCAAAGAGUCGGACAUGACUGAGCAACUAACGCUUUACUUUCCUCUACUGUAAAGGUAGUUUACCUCUGUUUAAGAUUGCUGUGCUUGACGCUCACAAAUCCAAAGUAACUGUUAUUCAAAACUGGCAUGGUUUUCUUCUUCCAUAUGGCAGUAGCAGCUGUUUAUUAAGCACCUCUUAUAUGUCAGAUACCAUGCUGGUUGCUUUGUACAUUAUCUAAUUUUCCCAAUCAAGUGAAACGUGACCCCCAUUUUACAGAAGAGAAAACUGAGGCUUAGAGAUGCUUAGUAAUUUGAACAACUUGUAUAUAGCAGAGCUCGAGUAUGGAUGCACAACUGAUUCCAAAGUCACUGCUCUUUUUGCUACACCUUGCAAUGUCAGCGCCUUGUAUUGCCAGGAAUGCUUGCUGGGGAAUGUUGGGGCUUGCAUUCAUGACUUCGGUGGCUGUUGGGAAGGGAAGGAUAGAAUAGUAAUGAAAUGUUCCAGUAUAUCCAAGGAGGCUCAC